UACAGAGGUCUCAAGCGUUGUUCGGAAUCACUGGGCGUAAAGGGUGCGCAGGUGGUCAUGUAAGUCAAAUGUGAAAGACUGGGGCUCAACCUCAGAUUUGCAUGUGAUACUGCGUGACUUGAGAACUGAAGAGGGAUCUUGAAUUCACGGUGUAGCAGUGAAAUGCGUAGAUAUCGUGAGGAACACCAAAGGCGAAAGCAGGAUCCUGGUCAGCUUCUGACACUCAUGCACGAAGGCUAGGGGAGCAAACGGG
rnacentral:rRNA from 2 species